GAGAAGGAGAGCCUGCAAUGCAGCCUGCUGGAGGCUCAGCAGCACGUGUCGGAGCUGGAGGUGGCCAGGAGCCGUCUGGAAGGCCAAGUUCGCUCAGCCACGCAGGCCAAGGAGGUGAUCCUGGAGGAUGUGAAGGGCCUUCGGCGUGAGCUGCAAGCUGUAAGACUUUUCAGCAAGCAGCAAUGUGAAAACAUGGCUGAACAGCUCCGCUGGGCAGAAGAGCAGUGCAGCAAGGCUCUCAGACUCUGGCAAGCUGCUCAGGAGGAAGACAAAAGGAAGCUGGAAAAACUGGAGAGCCAGCUAGAAAAACAGCGUUUGGAGGCGCAGGAGCUGCUGGAGCAACGGGACAAGUUCCUGGCAGAGCUGCAGCACCAGAAGGUCGAGCUCUUAUGCAAGCUGCGCCGGCUGCAACAAAAGUUAAAACAACGCCAGCAGUUUGUAGAG